GCACUGCUGACGAGUCCCAAACGGGACAAAACAGCUGUCCAGUGC
rfam:Echinostoma caproni strain Egypt genome assembly, scaffold: ECPE_scaffold0033386